rnacentral:lncRNA from 1 species
CCUGUCCUAUCAACGGAGGGUGGACUAUAUAAGAAUCAACGAAGCUGUCACUAUCGCGAACUACCACACGACUCGGCCAAUAUGAUACAUUUGCAGAUAAAUAACAUCUAAGCACCACGCUCACAUGUGAUCUAUCACCUAACUCCCUCGCGUCAAGAGCUAAGCGCUUUGCAAACUUAUACAUAAACUCAUUAUCAAUUAGAACUAUAUCAAAUAUAGAACUAGAGCAAACUAAGAACAUAAUAAUUAGAGACAUAAUGCAAUUAGAACAAUAGAAUUAGAGAAAGAUAUGAAUAAUACCAAUCUUUAUUACCGAAGAUCCGAAUCC